GACGGAGGAUGCAAGCGUUAUCCGGAAUUAUUGGGCGUAAAGCUUCUGUAGGUGGUCUCAUAAGUCCCAUGUCAAAGCGUAGUGCUUAACUCCAUACAGGCGUGGGAAACUGCUAGUCUUGAGUACAGUAGGGGCAGGAGGAAUUUCCGGUGUAGCGGUGAAAUGCGUAGAUAUCGGAAAGAACACCAGUGGCGAAGGCGCUCUGCUGGGCUGUCACUGACACUGAGAGUCGAAAGCUAGGGGAGCGAAAGGG
rnacentral:rRNA from 1 species